rnacentral:rRNA from 1 species
GAACGCUGGCGGCGUGCUUAACACAUGCAAGUCGAACGAGACGAAUUAGAAGCUUGCUUUUGACGAGUCGAGUGGCAAACGGGUGAGUAACGCGUAGACAACCUGCCGCAAAGAUGGGGACAACAUCCCGAAAGGGGUGCUAAUACCGAAUGUUGUGCAACCUCCACAUGGAGGAUGCACCAAAGGUGGUUUCGGCCACCGCUGAGAGAUGGGUCUGCGUCUGAUUAGCUUGUUGGCGGGGUAACGGCCUACCAAGGUGAUGAUACGUAGCCGAACUGAGAGGUUGAUCGGCCACAUUGGGACUGAGACACGGCCCAGACUCCUACGGGAGGCAGCAGUAGGGAAUCUUCGGCAAUGGGGGCAACCCUGACCGAGCAACGCCGCGUGAGUGAAGAAGGUUUUCGGAUCGUAAAGCUCUGUUGUAAGAGAAGAACGUGUGUGAGAGUGGAAAGUUCACACAGUGACGGUAACUUACCAGAAAGGGACGGCUAACUACGUG